AUGCUACUGCUAGAAGCAGUCAUCUUCUCCUGCCUCUGGGCCUUUGGCCUUGGGCAGGUGACGUUGGAGCAAACUGAAAUAUCAAUUUCCAGAGAAAAAGAUAAGAGUGCCCACAUAUUAUGCAAGGUGUCUGCUAAGGACUUUAACAGUGAAACCAUAUACUGGUACUGGCAGAAACCAGAUCAGGAGAUAGAACAUCUAACAAAUGUCAUAACAAACCAUGUUCAAGUUUCUUUAUGUGGGAAGAACAACAAACUUGAGGCAAGUAAAAAUGCUGGCACUUCCACUUCAACGUUGAAAUAAAUUUUCUAGAGAAAGAAGACAAGGCCAUGUACUACUGUAGCAGCUGGAAUAAGAUCUACAGCAUCAGCUGGAUCAAGAUAUUUGCACAAGGAACUAAGCUCAUAGUAACUCCCCCAGAUAGAAGACUUGAUGCAGACAUUUCUCCCAAGCCCACAAUUUUCCUUCCUUCAAUUGCUGAAAGAAGACUUCAUAAGGCUGGAACAUAUCUUUGUCUUCUUGAGGACUUUUUCCCUGAUGUUAUUAAGAUAGAUUGGAAAGAAAGGGAUGACGAAACAAUUCUGAAAUCACAGCAGGGAGACACCAUGAAGACUAAUGACACAUACAUGAAAUUCAGCUGGCUGACCGUGACUGGAGCAUCAGUGGAUAAAGAACACAAAUGUAUUGUCAAACAUGAGCGGAAUAAAGGAGGAGUUGAUCAAGAGAUUCUAUUUCCUUCACAGAAAAAAGAAGGUGAAACUAAUAAAUGACUUCUUUUAGACACCCUGCAGCUGCAGCUCAUGAACACCUCUGCCUACUACACCUACCUCCUCCUCCUCCUCAAGAGCCUGGUCUAUUCCAGCAUCAUCGCCUUCUGUCUGCUUGGGAGACCAGAAUUCUGUGGCAAUGGGAAGAGUUCCUAA